UACAGAGGGUGCGAGCGUUAAUCGGAAUUACUGGGCGUAAAGCGCACGUAGGCGGCUUGGUAUGUCGGGUGUGAAAUCCCCGGGCUCAACCUGGGAACUGCCUUUGUGACUGCAAGGCUUGAGUGCGGCAGAGGGGGAUGGAAUUCCGCGUGUAGCAGUGAAAUGCGUAGAUAUGCGGAGGAACACCGAUGGCGAAGGCAAUCCCCUGGGCCUGCACUGACGCUCAUGCACGAAAGCGUGGGGAGCAAACAGG
rnacentral:rRNA from 1 species